AGUUCCUUAACUUGGUCACGAUUAUCAAUAAAUAGAGGAACUUGUUAUCAUGACAUGUCCUGGAAAUGUUCCCGAGAUGGAUGUUUCUAGUCUGCAAAGUGAACAAUGAAGAUUAUGGAGAACUACUCCACCAUCAUCUGAUGUGGUUCUGAUGGCUGUGUGUUUCUCAGCUUUAUCCUCAGCCUGUGGGUAAUUUAAAAUAAAUACUUUCGCAAGUGCACCAACAGAAAUAUUUCACUGUCAUUGAGCAGAAAGCUAAAAACCUAAUUACGUUGGAACUAGGAAGAGGAAGUAAGUAUGGUUGGAAGAGGUGGGAGUCUGGUGCUGCUGGAGCAGAAAGCACAAAGAAGAACGUGCUUUUAUGUGGGUGCCCUAAGAGACAUGAUAAGUGAAAAAGGCCAAGAUGCCCCAAAUUGCAAAAGUAAUGAAAAAGACCCAGUGAUAAUAAUGCGAUUGGAAAGGAAGACACUGAUUUCUCACAUGACUGUGGCAAACUGUGAAGAGUGAAAAUUCCAGAAGACUUAAAUUGUCUAUAGUUUUGGCAUCUCUCCCUCAAUGUACUUGCUAUCUUUUUUUUUUCUUUUAAGUCUGCUAAGUUACAACUGCAGACCACAGUAAAAUUAUAGAUUUGGAGAUGUUGGAAUGUUUCCUCAAAGAUAAAAGCCAAUUAAAAAAAUUUUAACAAAGAA